GGGGACACCCGCUGAGUUUAAGCAUAUCAA
rnacentral:rRNA from 1 species